UUCCCUGAAACUAAUUUAUUAAAGCUUGUAUUGUAUUUGUUCCGACCUACUGCGUAGUAGCGACUUAGCGCAUGCGCAAUAGCGCCCGGUACAAAUGUAUCAAUCGAAACAAAUAUAUAUUACUACACCAUGGUCACGAGACUAAAAAUUGUUACGUAUGAUGUCCAAGAACACACGCGCUACAACAAAAACAAACAUGUACGUAUAUAUAAAUACCAGACUUAGUUAAUUGAAAUAAUGAAUAACAUCUGUAGUGGAAAAAUUAUGUUAAAGCAGUGCAUAUUCUAUUUCUAUACUAAACAUUUUAUACUUUGGAUAAAUCUUUAUACACAGUGUCUGGUUUACGAUUUCUAUGAAUGAAGAUCUGUUUAUUUGUUUUGCUUGACUGAAUGUGGUCGUAAGUUCUUGUUGUUGGUUUGUUAUUCCGAAAGUUCCGCAUCACGUAGCUUGUUCCCGUUCCUGUACCUGUAAACGACGUACUUUAUUGUGUAUUAUAUACCAGCAUUUAUGUAUUCCAAUCGAAUAAAUUUCAUGGCUUACCGAAGUCGGUUUAUGCUCGCGAACGAUGGACGGUAGCAGUAAGAAACAACUGUAAAACAACAGAAAUUCCAGCUUGGCCAGCAUGAAUAAAACAGAAACAAUACUCUUGGAUAGCAGACAAAUAAGUUCAGAUACUAUACCAAAACUUCCUCUUGAUGUUAAAAUGGUUUCAUCAUCUUCUGACCCAGAUAAUUCAGAAACAAUACCAAAGUCAGUGUUAGUCGCUGAAGAAGAAAAUGAGACACUACCUAAGUCGUUGCUGGCAGUGUCUGAAUCAAAUAUUGAAGAAACCACUCCUAAACUACCUAGGUGCGAAUUAGAAGAAACUGUUCCUAAGAUACCAGUGUCAGCUCCUGACUUAGAGAAAGAAGAAACGCAACCCAAAUUGCUGUUGAAAGUUUCUGGAUUGCCAAGUAAUGAAACAAUUCCCAAAUUACCUGAAUCGCAUACUAUUAAAAGUCCACCAGAGCAGCGAGUAUCUCUUUCCGAGUUUGAAAAUGAAGAAACAACUCCCAAAUCACCAUUUUCAAUGCAGAGCAAUGAGGAACCCACAUGUGGUCACAGCAAAGUUAAAUGCCAGUCAUCUGAUAUGAUUGGUCAGGUCUAUGGAGAUGUCCACAUGACUUUGCUAAAUCCAAAUUUGCACCCUGCUGCAGUUUCUACUGACCCCGAAGAACUAGGUUUAACACUGCAGAAGAACUUGGAAGUAAAUGCAAAAGUCAUAGUUGGAGAGUCAUCAUUGCCGAUAGAGAUCAAUCAUGCUGGGAAAACCGUUCGACUGGAAAUCGCAGAGGUCAGGCAAAGGUCAGAUGAUGAUUGGAAGCAAUACAUGGAUCGUAGACAUCUGAAUGAGAUGUACAUGCCACACAGCUCUAUUCAGCUUAAUCAAAUCUUUGAUAAGGCUAAAGAAGUAGCAAAGAAGAAGGCGGAUAAAUUCUGCAAUAAUGAUGAGGCCAAAGACAGGUAUAUUCGAAGGCAUGGCAACAUUGUAGGUGUAGUAGGCCUUCCUGGUGUUGGGAAGAGCACCCUUACUAAGAUUGUGACAAGAGCAAUUCUUGAUAAAAAGAUGAUGCCAAAUACACAGUAUUUGUUCUACAUAUCAAUCAAGACGGUGAACUUUGAGAAAAAUGUCACCCUUAUGGAAUUUCUCCUUGAAACAAGUACUGAAUUUUGUAACCACACAGACGAGGAGAUCAAGGCAUUGUUGAAUGUACUGUAUACCAGUCAAAACGUGGUUAUUGUGCUUGAUGGUCUUGAUGAAUCAAGUGUUACAACUGAGUUUUCAACCCCUGUAAGGAGAUGUAAACCCAACAGCAAAGAAAGGGUGAUUGAUAUUGUUAAAAACCUGUUAAAUGGACAUCUUCUUCCAAACGCUAUAAAACUGAUCACAUCCAGAUCCAGUCAGUUGUACCAGCUUCAUCCUGACUGCCGCCCAAGUUCUUUAGCAGAGGUACUUGGAAUUGAGAAACCUGCACAGGGUGAGCUAGGUAUACAGAUAUGUGGAGAAGAGGGUUAUGCUGCUGUUAAACAGAAGUUAGCUGAAUGCCCUCACCUGGCUGCAUUGUGCUAUGUCCCAAUCAACUGUAUCUACAUCAUGAAUUGCUUACAUUUAAAGCUGUCUUCUGGCCGUAACAUCAAUUCCAUGACUGAAGUGCUGAUUUCAACACUCACUGACUUCAUCACGUCAAGUCAUCUGCAGAUGAAUACGGAUGAACAAGAAAUUAGCACACACAUGGUCAAACUUGCCCACCUUGCUUUCAAAGGUCUUGUUGAAAGGAAACUGGUCUUUGAGAAAAAAGAUUUUGCACAGGUAGGAAUUGGUGAGGCCAUGAUAAACAACUUUCUGCACACCUACGUGGAUAAGUCGUGUGGCCUUCGGAUGAGAAUCUUGGAAGGAAGCAAACGGAGCUACUUCACGCACCUAACAUGGCAGGAGUUCCUGGCAGCAGUUCACUUGAUCCUGUUUGCCCCAAAAGAUGAGUUCAGAAGACUUCAGGAUACAUUCAAAGACAUGCAGUGGGAAGUUGUGACACGCUUUAUGUUCGGCAUUUGUAACUAUACCUCAUUUAAAUCACUGAAUAUGAUUUUCCCAUCCUGCAUGAUUCAAGAUUUUGAAGAAAAAAAAGUCAUGCUUAAGUCCCUCAUUUCAACAGCAAUGUUAACUGAGAACUCCCAAGAAUUUAACCAAAAUCUGAUCCGCAUUGCUGGGUGGGUGCAUGAAUCUAACGAAAAAGAAACAUGCCAAAGGUUUGGAUAUUGCUUGACCACUGAUAUUGAACUGUGUGCCCCUACACAGCUCACUGCAGCCAGUGAUCUUGCCUUUGCUUUAAAAUCUUCCUCAAAACCUUACAACCUUUACCUCACAGUAACGCGAGGAAGAGGAAACGAAUCGUUGGAAACAUUCUUGAACAGCAUUCGAGGGUCACAAGUUAAGGUCCAGUGUUUAAAAAUUCCCAAGAUAGACUUGAAUGAGUCGAUGUGGAAUGCCCUUCGUCCUCAUUUACUGGAAGUCAAGAAGUUGCAUAUAGCUAUUAUAAGAAACAUGUUACAUUAUAAAGAAUGUUUCUGUGAAGUUAUGCAGCAACGGGAUUCACAGAUUGAAAUUGAGAUUGAUUGUGAAGAAGCAGUGUAUGGCUCAGGGAUGUUGGACGAUGAUAUAUUCUCUUGUUUUGCCUCCUGUGUUCGAAGCAUCUCAAAGCUAUCAAUCAGAUAUCCACCCUGGGCUGAUGUUUCCAAGUUACAGAAGACUCUUCUGGUUCUACAACGUGCUGCUGCUGAACUGUCCCAACAGCUUGAAGUUGAUAUACCUGGACAUGCGACUGGUGCAUGGUUGGCACACUGGUGAAACUACCAUUUCAACAAUUUCUUACUGCACAGGUAGAGAAUAAUUGUGUUAAAUACGGUUACAUGAUAAGAACACUUUGCACCUCCAAUUAUUUAAGCAUUGAAACGUGAAGGUUCAGGCCAUAACCAUAAUGUUUCACCACUGUACGGAUUAUAUGCAGUUUGUUUGUCUUAUCACUUUAAUUAUUUUCAUGCACACUUUUUUCUAUGCAAUCUUUAUAUCAAUUGAUCAUUUUAGCAAUUUAGAUGCACUUUAAUUUGAUUUUGCUUUUUUUGUGUAAUCGCCAUAUUAUUUAUAUAUUGCUGCUCUGUGUGAUAAAAAAGGGUAUAAAGCGAUUAAAAAUCAAGAUUGUCAUCUGAGGUUGUAGAUGUUAAAAUUUAUAUCAAAGCUUUAUGGCGCAUGCGCAUUAUCAAUGCACGAUUUUUUUUACAUCUGAAACAGUAAUAAUAGCUUAAUAUUUAACUAUACUUCAGAGCGGUUUUUAAUGUAAAAAUUGUAUUUAUUUAACCCAAUGGUUUGGUCUGUUCUUGCUGCUGUAUUUAUAAAAAUAGCCAAGGUUGAUGUAUGUAGUGUGGUCGAUUGAAUAUGUUGCUUCUAUAUUUGCCUCAUUUUAUGUCAUCAACAGCAGUCAAACUUAUCGAUGUCUGUUAUGGUUGUUUUGACUUUUUAAAGUAAAAUUGAGUUUAAACCCUUGCUUUACUAUUGGGUCUUGCCAAAAAAGGGGUAAUACCUCAUUCUUUAAAAUAUAUAUUCUACCUUUGAACAAGA